UAAAUUAUCUUACUGAUUAUAUAUCCAUCGAUGCAUAGAAUAUCCUAUCUAUCGUCGUGUAAGGAGUUCAGUUCCUAGGUGGAUCUCAAUAAGCCUUUUCCGGUUCUGCUUCUUUACGUUUACUUGGUCUCUAGUUUAGACAGACUCUAUAGGGCAUUUUUUUUUGUUAUGUCUCGGCGUAAAAUCCACCCGGAGCGAAAGCACGGCAUACUAUUUGAGUCUCAAAGAUAUGAUGUUAUCCAUAGAAAGUGGAAGCAUAGUUUCUAUAUUGUAAAAGGGAGUUUUAACUACUCCGUCCCAUCCAACAAAAAUUCAGAAUCAAAGUUCUUUUCCAUUUCCACU
rnacentral:lncRNA from 1 species